UACGUAGGGUGCGAGCGUUAAUCGGAAUUACUGGGCGUAAAGCGUGCGCAGGCGGUUCGUUGUGUCGGCGGUGAAAGCCCCGGGCUCAACCUGGGAAUGGCCGUUGAAACUGGCGAACUGGAGUGUGGCAGAGGGGGGUGGAAUUCCGCGUGUAGCAGUGAAAUGCGUAGAGAUGCGGAGGAACACCGAUGGCGAAGGCAGCCCCCUGGCUGACACUGACGCUCAGGCACGAAGCGUGGGAGCAAACAGG
rnacentral:rRNA from 1 species